UAUUGGGCAAUGGGCGCAAGCCUGACCCAGCAACGCCGCGUGAAGGAAGAAGGCUUUCGGGUUGUAAACUUCUUUUGACAGGGAAGAGUAGAAGACGGUACCUGUCGAAUAAGCCACGGCUAACUACGUGCCAGCAGCCGCGGUAAUACGUAGGUGGCAAGCGUUGUCCGGAUUUACUGGGUGUAAAGGGGCGUGUAGCCGGGUUGACAAGUCAGAUGUGAAAUCCUGCGGCUUAACCGCAGAACUGCAUUUGAAACUGUUGAUCUUGAGUACUGGAGAGGCAGACGGAAUUCCUAGUGUAGCGGUGAAAUGCGUAGAUAUUAGGAGGAACACCAGUGGCGAAGGCGGUCUGCUGGACAGCAACUGACGGUGAGGCGCGAAAGCGUGGGGAGCAAACAGGA
rnacentral:rRNA from 1 species